GGGGCUGGGGCUCAGUGGUGGAGCGCUCACCUAGAGUGUGUGAGGCCCUGGGUUCGAGCCUCAGCACCA
rnacentral:tRNA from 1 species